rnacentral:rRNA from 1 species
GUGGGGAAUCUUGCGCAAUGGGCGAAAGCCUGACGCAGCCAUGCCGCGUGAAUGAUGAAGGUCUUAGGAUUGUAAAAUUCUUUCACCGGGGACGAUAAUGACGGUACCCGGAGAAGAAGCCCCGGCUAACUUCGUGCCAGCAGCCGCGGUAAUACGAAGGGGGCUAGCGUUGCUCGGAAUUACUGGGCGUAAAGGGCGCGUAGGCGGACAGUUUAGUCAGAGGUGAAAGCCCAGGGCUCAACCUUGGAAUUGCCUUUGAUACUGGCUGUCUUGAGUACGGGAGAGGUGAGUGGAACUCCGAGUGUAGAGGUGAAAUUCGUAGAUAUUCGGAAGAACACCAGUGGCGAAGGCGACUCACUGGCCCAAUACUGACGCUGAGGCGCGAAAGCGUGGGGAGCAAACAGGAUUAGAAACCCGGGUAGUCC